rnacentral:rRNA from 1 species
UACGUAGGCAGCAAGCGUUGUUCGGAGUUACUGGGCGUAAAGGGUGCGUAGGCGGUCCUAUAAGUAUGGGUGUGAAAUCUCCCGGCUUAACUGGGAGGGUGCGCUAUAGACUGUGGGACUAGAGUGUGGGAGAGGUAAGGCGGAAUUCCUGGUGUAGCGGUGAAAUGCGUAGAUAUCAGGAGGAACACCUGUGGUGUAGACAGCUUACUGGACCACUUCUGACGCUGAGACACGAAAGCGUGGGUAGCAAACAGG